AGAUUGAACGCUGGCGGCAUGCUUUACACAUGCAAGUCGAACGGCAGCGCGGGGCAACCUGGCGGCGAGUGGCGAACGGGUGAGUAAUAUAUCGGAACGUACCCAAGAGUGGGGGAUAACGUAGCGAAAGUUACGCUAAUACCGCAUACGAUCCAAGGAUGAAAGCAGGGGGACCGCAAGGCCUUGUGCUCCUGGAGCGGCCGAUAUCUGAUUAGCUAGUUGGUAGGUAAAGGCCUACCAAGGCUACGAUCAGUAGCUGGUCUGAGAGGACGACCAGCCACACUGGAACUGAGACACGGUCCAGACUCCUACGGGAGGCAGCAGUGGGGGAAUUUUGGACAAUGGGCGC
rnacentral:rRNA from 1 species